rnacentral:sRNA from 1 species
GCUGGGCGUGGUGGUGCAUGCCUGUAAUCCUAGCAGUUUGGGAGGCUGAGGCAGGAGGAUUGAGAGUUCAAAGCCGCCUCAACAACUUAUGCCCUAAGCAACUCAGCAAGACCCUGUCUCUA